AGUGAACGCUGGCGGUAGGCCUAACACAUGCAAGUCGAACGGCAGCACAGUAAUAGCUUGCUCUUACGGGUGGCGAGUGGCGGACGGGUGAGGAAUACAUCGGAAUCUACUUUUUCGUGGGGGAUAACGUAGGGAAACUUACGCUAAUACCGCACACGACCUACGGGUGAAAGCAGGGGAUCUUCGGACCUUGCGCGAUUGAAUGAGCCGAUGUCGGAUUAGCUAGUUGGCGGGGUAAAGGCCCACCAAGGCGACGAUCCGUAGCUGGUCUGAGAGGAUGAUCAGCCACACUGGAACUGAGACACGGUCCAGACUCCUACGGGAGGCAGCAGUGGGGAAUAUUGGACAAUGGGCGCAAGCCUGAUCCAGCCAUACCGCGUGGGUGAAGAAGGCCUUCGGGUUGUAAAGCCCUUUUGUUGGGAAAGAAAAGCAGCAGGUUAAUACCCCGCUGUUCUGACGGUACCCAAAGAAUAAGCACCGGCUAACUUCGUG
rnacentral:rRNA from 1 species